rnacentral:rRNA from 1 species
CCCUACGGGGUGCAGCAGGCAGGAUCAGGUGUAUCAGGAUUCAGGUCUGUUGCAUCAGGGCUUUCCCUUCUCCUUGGGAUGCUGAGUUUCUGGAUGAUACUCUUUUAUUUCGCCGUCCCUAGCAUUCCCGGCUGGGCAGUGAAGAACUGGAUUCCGACGCUUUUCUCGGCAAGCCUUGGGAUAGAGAUGCCGGUUGCCGGGCCUUUGUCAACAAUUACAAUUGCAGCCUCAUCCCUGGUUGGGGUGAGAUCAGGGGGCAUACUUUCCGACAGGUGGAUCCUGAGGAAUCUCAGGGGACGCAUUUAUACAGGUGCUAUCGGGUUGUCACUGACAAUACCUUCACUGCUCCUGAUCGGCUUCGGGCACGGCUACCUGAUGAUAAUUGGCGGGAGAGC